AGGGAUUUCACGUUUAGCAGACUCGACAGGAAAUCCUCUCGGGGCAUGAUUUAUGAGAAUGAGGAGCUUCGUUUGAAAACCAUCAACAUAAACGCCGAAGUGGAGAGCCGUCAAUCAGAUAUAAAAAAAUUGAAGAAAGAAAACGAAAUGUUGAAAAAAGGCCUGUGGUACCUGAGAGACGAAUACGACAAAUUGGAGAAACUCAUAAAGGAUAAGAAAAUCGAUUUUUCAUCAUCCUCUACCACGUGUUCAACAUCCAGUGAUUC